rnacentral:rRNA from 1 species
UCCAGACUCCUACGGGAGGCAGCAGUGAGGAAUAUUGGUCAAUGGGCUAAGGCCUGAACCAGCCAAGUCGCGUGAGGGAAGACUGCCCUAUGAGUUGUAAACCUCUUUUGUCAGGGAGCAACGCCGGCUACGUGUAGCCGGACUGAGAGUACCUGAAGAAAAAGCAUCGGCUAACUCCGUGCCAGCAGCCGCGGUAAUACGGAGGAUGCGAGCGUUAUCCGGAUUUAUUGGGUUUAAAGGGUGCGUAGGCGGACAGUCAAGUCAGCGGUAAAAAUGCGGUGCUCAACGCCGUACAGCCGUUGAAACUGGCAGUCUUGAGUGGGCGAGAAGUAUGCGGAAUGCGUGGUGUAGCGGUGAAAUGCAUAGAUAUCACGCAGAACUCCGAUUGCGAAGGCAGCAUACCGGCGCCCGACUGACGCUGAGGCACGAAAGCGUGGGUAUCGAACAGGAUUAGAUACCCCAGUA